GAUCCCGCUGCAGGAAACCACCAUGCUGAGUCAGGACAGAAGCUGUGUUGUCUGAGGACAGAUGGAUGGAAAGCCUGAAACACCUGAGUGCUGUCAGCAGAUGGACAACCCUGCAGGACUUUGACAUGGGUGAAGUUGAGAUUCCCAGCAGCCUCAGCGGUCAAAGAGAACAGGAAGUGAUGACCAUCUUCUGGUUCAUCACGAUCCACAGCACUCAAAGUCUGAAUGAUCUGAGAGGUCAAAGAUCAACGAGGAGGUCAGCUGACAUGAAAUGAAACAAAAAAAGAAAACUGAUUUACAGUUUUAAAAUAUCUUCAUUAUUUAUUAAAUCUGUUGUCAGGAUAUCCUGCAGACAGUAAACUCAUUAAACUGAGCAUUCACACUAGUGAUACUAUCAGGGGCUCUUCUCAUUUCUCUCCUCGACUCCUUUCCUGCCACAUAACUCUCGUCUAAGCCUUCCCCGGCUGGAUUUUAAGAAGUCUGGACAACAGAAACACAUCAAACACAA